GAGUUCCACACGUCGCGUUGUCUCGUAUCUCGUUAAACACGUGAAAAUAUCAAACGAAACACUUGAGUGCAAACCCCUUGUGUGUGAUUACGAAAAAUUAUUUCAUAGUUUCUGUGCUUGUGUACUUAUUUAUAAGUGUAUGAACGACCGAAAAAGUGGAUAUUUCGUUUUGGAUUUAAUUUUUAGAAGUACACAGGAAUUAUUUUCGAAACCCAUGCUGGCGUUAACGGGAAAUCGAUCACUCUGUAUAGAGUAACCGAAAAUGCUCCCCUGAAUUAUUCCAAUACAUUAAGAUUCUGAAGUCUAUCGAUGUUGUCAACAUAUGAGGUG